rnacentral:piRNA from 1 species
UCCUGCCUGAGCAUAGGGGUGA